UGUUGAGUACGCCAUUUUCUCAAAGUGGAAAGAGUGCGGAAACAUGUUACUGAAGGUGAAACUUGGCGAUGCCCAAAAGUUUGUUCGAAUAACUGAGCCAAAUCUGUCAGACUUUUUGAAUGCAGCAUUUGCCAAAUUUGGUGUCCCAGCUGUAAUGGAAGGUGUUAGUCGUUGACAGUUCAGGGACUGAGUUGGAUGAUGAUGUCUUUGAGGACAUCAUAAAAGAUCCCUCCACUGGGGUGUUAACCAUUACAUAUGAACAAGAAUUUGUCUCCAUGGUAGCCUCAACUGAGUCCCAGGUUUCAUCUGUUGCUUCAUCGGACUCUGAUACAAUUAUCCUUCCAGACAGCCCUUCCAGAAAGCGUCAGAGGCU